rnacentral:rRNA from 1 species
CCCUCUGGGUUGUAAACUCCUUUUAUCUGGGGAAGAAAUCCAUAUAUUCUUAUAUGGUUGACGGUACCAGAGGAAUAAGCACCGGCUAACUCCGUGC